rnacentral:rRNA from 1 species
UACGAAGGGGGCUAGCGUUGCUCGGAAUCACUGGGCGUAAAGGGUGCGUAGGCGGGUCUUUAAGUCAGGGGUGAAAUCCUGGAGCUCAACUCCAGAACUGCCUUUGAUACUGAAGAUCUUGAGUUCGGGAGAGGUGAGUGGAACUGCGAGUGUAGAGGUGAAAUUCGUAGAUACUCGGAAGAACACCAGUGGCGAGGGCGACUUACUGGACACAUAUUGACGCUGAGGUGCGAAAGCGUGGGGAGCAAACAGG